rnacentral:lncRNA from 1 species
GUCACGUGGCCAUCAAGAUGGCGGCGUCCAGAGGACGUCGCGCGAGAUGCGUCCGCGGACCUGUUCUUGGAGCUGUCGCAGCGACUCUCUCCAUCUGUCCCGAGUAUACGGAGCUUAUUGACGAGUCCCUGUAGACGAAAACACGGUUUCUACUGCCUAGAAUCCGGCCUUGCAGAUCACGUGCUGGGGAGGCCGUUGCCAUGGUAACGGAGCAAGAGAUAGAGGCCAUAGGGAAGACCUUGGUGGACCCCAAGCAGCCCCUGCAGGCCCGCUUCCGGGCCCUGUUUACACUUCGGGGGCUUGGUGGCCCUGAUGCUAUCUCGUGGAUCAGCCGGGGCUUUGAGGACAGCUCUGCUCUUCUGAAGCACGAGCUGGCCUACUGCCUGGGCCAGAUGAGGGACGCACGGGCCAUCCCUGUGCUGGCGGAUGUGCUGCAGGACACGAGCCAGGAGCCCAUGGUGCGUCAUGAGGCAGGGGAAGCCCUGGGGGCGAUUGGUAACCCGGAAGUUCUAGGCCUCCUGAAGCAGUAUUCUACGGACCCAGUGGUUGAGGUGGCUGAAACGUGCCAGCUCGCCGUUGGUCGUCUAGAGUGGCUACAGCAGCACCCGGGGGAGGCCACAUGUGCAGGACCCUACCUCUCAGUGGACCCAGCACCCCCUGCAGCAGAGCAGGAUGUGGGGAGGCUGCGGGAGGCCCUGCUGGAUGAGGCACGGCCACUCUUUGAGCGAUACCGUGCCAUGUUUGCCCUGCGCAACGUGGGUGGCAAGGAGGCUGCCUUGGCCCUGGCUGAAGGCUCCUGCUGAAGGUGUCUCAGCCAUGGCAGGGUCAGUGGAUGAAAAAGAGGCCGAGGACUGGAGCCCAGCCCCUCCGAUGUAUGAGGAAUACCGGCCACCCGCGCUGGAUGCCAUCCGCCUGCCUCGCUAUGCCCUGUAUCUGCUGAUGGCCGCUAUCCUGGUGGUGGCCGUGGCCUAUGCCAUUGUUGGCCACCUCAUCAAAGAUCUAGCUCAUGACCUGGCUGACUGGGCCUUUGGCCCUAAGCCUGACCAGGAGGAGGAAGGUUCCCGGGAGCUGCGGGCCAGCUUGGCUGCAGAGGACCUGGAAGAACUAGAUCUUCAGCUGGCCCUGGCCUGGCGUGGGGAGGAUGACCCUGCCCGUGCUCCUCGCCGCACCUCCAUUGCCUUCAAGGACCCGCCGGUGCAAACCAACUUUUGGAGGCUGGACUGACCUGGAGGAGUGGCAUGUGUGACACUGGUGGGCCUGGCAGUUCCCUCUGCCUCAGUUGGACCACCUGUGUAUGUGACAACAUAGGGUUUGGCCAGGCUGAAACUCAAAACUCCCCUCCUGGGCUGGAGUGCUCUGAUUGCAGACUCCACUUACACUUUAUUGACUUGGAGACAGGUUCUCCAUGUAGCCUAGGCAAGCCUUGAACUUGAUACAUAGCAGAGGACAACCUUGAACUCCUGAUCCUCCAGUCACCAUCUCCUGAACGCUGGGAUGACAGAUCUGGGCUUCUGUGAUACUGAGGAGAGCCCAGGGUCUCCUCCAAGGCUGUGCCAGCCCGAGGCCCUGACAGCUUCCUUUCUUCCUUCCUUCCUUUCUUUCCCUCUUUCUUUCUCUUUUGGUUUUUCAAGACAGGGUUUCUCUGCGUAACAGCCCUGGCUGUCCUGGAACUCAGAGCCAUCACCUGCAACAUUUUUUCCUAUGGAUAAUUCCUUACACAGUGUUUGCUGAGAGGAGAAAAGAGUGAGGCCAAAUUCACAUAUAAAUUAAAAGCCUAUCUGACUA